rnacentral:siRNA from 1 species
AUACCCACUACUUGCUAACAAUGU